GUGAGACAGUCCCGAGAAACCCUCCUUACCUUGCUCUUUAGACCCUUCUCCAAAGCAUGGAAAAGAGGAAUUCCACCUUUGAUGAUGCUUCUUCCAAUCUUGCUGCACCAAGUGUCAGUGCCAGUAUCCUGCAAGCUCUGAUCCAACCAGUCAAAGUUUCUUAUCAUAUUCCUGUGGUACAAUGAGGUCAGACCUGCUUUCUUUACCAACCAUGCUACUGUAUAUGGUUCUCCUGUCCAAGAAUAGGUUCCACCAAGAUUUGACAAAAUGAAUGCAGAUAAUAUCUGUGUAGCAGAGUUCUCUUCACACACCAUUGACUCAAGGAGGACCUCCAUAGCCUCUUCCCUAAACAUGCUUCUGCCAGAUGAGUCUUCCUGCCAAUAUUCAUCGUUUGUUACUGUUAAUUAAAUCUUGUUCUCCUAAUAUUUAUUCUAGAAUACUGCAUACAUGGUGUAAUGUAAUCUUAUUUCCUUAUAUUGCUAUUGACAAAGUAUGCCACAUUUUUAUGUCUUCUUACCCAAAAUAUGGAUCUAUUUCUUUUCUUUCAGUUGUUGUAUCAAACGCUUCAAUACGUAAGUUAUAGCUGUAGAAGCCAAACGGGAAAGAAUAUCAUUGUAUCCGCCAGGUCUUUGAGGGGUCUCGCCAUAUUGCACGACCUGAUAGUACAUCAACCAGCU